rnacentral:rRNA from 1 species
ACUCCUACGGGAGGCAGCAGUGGGGAAUAUUGCACAAUGGGCGCAAGCCUGAUGCAGCCAUGCCGCGUGUAUGAAGAAGGCCUUCGGGUUGUAAAGUACUUUCAGCAGUGAGGAAGGCGGGUACGUUAAUAGCGUGCUUGUUUGACGUUAGCUGCAGAAGAAGCACCGGCUAACUCCGUGCCAGCAGCCGCGGUAAUACGGAGGGUGCGAGCGUUAAUCGGAAUUACUGGGCGUAAAGCGCAUGCAGGUGGUUUGUUAAGUCAGAUGUGAAAGCCCGGGGCUCAACCUCGGAAUUGCAUUUGAAACUGGCAGACUAGAGUACUGUAGAGGGGGGUAGAAUUUCAGGUGUAGCGGUGAAAUGCGUAGAGAUCUGAAGGAAUACCGGUGGCGAAGGCGGCCCCCUGGACAGAUACUGACACUCAGAUGCGAAAGCGUGGGGAGCAAACAGGAUUAGAUA